CCUACGGGAGGCAGCAGUGAGGAAUAUUGGUCAAUGGGCGCAAGCCUGAACCAGCCAAGUCGCGUGAGGGAUGACGGUCCUAUGGAUUGUAAACCUCUUUUGUCGGGGAGCAAGGCCCGCCACGUGUGGCGGGAAGGAGAGUACCCGCAGAAAAAGCAUCGGCUAACUCCGUGCCAGCAGCCGCGGUAAUACGGAGGAUGCGAGCGUUAUCCGGAUUUAUUGGGUUUAAAGGGUGCGUAGGCGGAAGGUUAAGUCAGCGGUCAAAUGUCGGUGCUCAACACCGGCCUGCCGUUGAAACUGGUCGUCUUGAGUGAGCGAGAAGUAGGCGGAAUGCGUGGUGUAGCGGUGAAAUGCAUAGAUAUCACGCAGAACUCCGAUUGCGAAGGCAGCAUACCGGCGCGCAACUGACGCUGAGGCACGAAAGCGUGGGGAUCGAACAGGAUUAGAUACCCCAGUAGUC
rnacentral:rRNA from 1 species